rnacentral:rRNA from 1 species
GAUGAGUGGCGAACGGGUGAGUAAUACGUGAGUAACCUGCCCUUGACUCUGGGAUAAGCCUGGGAAACUGGGUCUAAUACUGGAUAUGACCUCCUGUCGCAUGGUGGGGGGUGGAAAGGGUUUGUACUGGUUGUGGAUGGGCUCACGGCCUAUCAGCUUGUUGGUGGGGUAAUGGCCUACCAAGGCGACGACGGGUAGCCGGCCUGAGAGGGUGACCGGCCACACUGGGACUGAGACACGGCCCAGACUCCUACGGGAGGCAGCAGUGGGGAAUAUUGCACAAUGGGCGCAAGCCUGAUGCAGCGACGCCGCGUGAGGGAUGACGGCCUUCGGGUUGUAAACCUCUUUCAGCACGGAAGAAGCGAAAGUGACGGUACGUGCAGAAGAAGCGCCGGCUAACUACGUGCCAGCAGCCGCGGUAAUACGUAGGGCGCAAGCGUUGUCCGGAAUUAUUGGGCGUAAAGAGCUCGUAGGCGGUUUGUCGCGUCUGCUGUGAAAGCCCGGGGCUUAACCCCGGGUGUGCAGUGGGUACGGGCAGACUUGAGUGCAGUAGGGGAGACUGGAACUCCUGGUGUAGCGGUGAAAUGCGCAGAUAUCAGGAAGAACACCGAUGGCGAAGGCAGGUCUCUGGGCUGUUACUGACGCUGAGGAGCGAAAGCAUGGGGAGCGAACAGGAUUAGAUACCCUGGUAGUCCAUGCCG